GUGGGGAAUAUUGCACAAUGGGCGAAAGCCUGAUGCAGCGACGCCGCGUGAGCGAAGAAGUAUUUCGGUAUGUAAAGCUCUAUCAGCAGGGAAGAAAAAUGACGGUACCUGACUAAGAAGCACCGGCUAAAUACGUGCCAGCAGCCGCGGUAAUACGUAUGGUGCAAGCGUUAUCCGGAUUUACUGGGUGUAAAGGGAGCGCAGGCGGUACGGCAAGUCUGAUGUGAAAGCCCGGGGCUCAACCCCGGUACUGCAUUGGAAACUGUCGAACUAGAGUGUCGGAGGGGUAAGUGGAAUUCCUAGUGUAGCGGUGAAAUGCGUAGAUAUUAGGAGGAACACCAGUGGCGAAGGCGGCUUACUGGACGAUCACUGACGCUGAGGCUCGAAAGCGUGGGGAGCAAACAGG
rnacentral:rRNA from 1 species